AGCAGCCGCGGUAAUUCCAGCUCCAAUAGCGUAUAUUAAAGUUGUUGCAGUUAAAAAGCUCGUAGUUGAAUUUCGGGAUCAAUACGUCGGUCGUGCUUCGGUACGUACUGGCAUUGUUGGUUUCUCCCUUCUGACGAACCAUGAUGUCAUUUAUUUGGUGUUGUGGGGAAUCAGGACUGUUACUUUGAAAAAAUUAGAGUGUUUAAAGCAGGCUCACGCUUGAAUACAUUAGCAUGGAAUAAUGAAAUAGGACGUUUGAUUCUAUUUUGUUGGUUUCUAGGAUCGACGUAAUGAUUAAUAGGGAUAGUUGGGGGCAUUAGCAUUCAAUUGUCAGAGGUGAAAUUCUUGGAUUUAUUGAAGACUAACUACUGCGAAAGCAUUUGCCAAGGAUGUUUU
rnacentral:rRNA from 1 species